GAUGACGAGGCACCGUUGGACGUAGGCCGAGUUUCAGCUUGAGUGGGAGGCGGUGGAGGGGCGGUUUUAGCUGAAAAUGCAGUUUUUAGACAGAAUCCUGUAAAACAAAAAAAGCCCGGCCGUGCAUCCUUAAGACAACAGGCAUGUCCUACCUUGAUGUUGUACUCCCAAAGCAUCCUCAAGAAGUCCAGUACUGUGUGAGGCAGAGGACCCUGAGUAGCAAUGUAGGCCUUGGAACCUGAC